GGGCCCGGGACGCGGACCUGGGGGACCGCGGCGUCUGCGUGGGCGGGGCCAGGGCGGCGGCUUGGGAUGACCCCGGGAAGGAAGUGGCCGGAAGGGAGCCGUGCCCUGUCCCCAGCGCGGGGCCCAGGAGGGCACAGUGCCCCGGAGCGGAAGCUGGCUGAGGAGUUGGGCCACGACCCCAAGUGCUAAGAGCCCCGGGGUGCGGCGGGGCCCGGUCCUGGAGAGCCGCCGGCACGUCCCUUCCGGGGCGACGCCCCUCUUGGAAGCCCGACCUGCUGGCGCCCCCAGGACCUGCGAAAGCCACGGGGCAGGCCUGAUGCCGGGACACCCACACGCCUUGCCGCCGUCAUCGCGUCUGGAGGCGGAAGCUCUGGUCUCCGGGCUCAGGCCUUUGCUCUCCAGGCCACCCCGGGCCGAGGCUGCCCCCACGCCGAGGGGCUCAGCUGGCGGGAGGUGCGUCCCGAGCCCCCGCUGCGCCCCGGCUGCAGCAAGCCUAGUGUGGGAGCAGGCCGCGGGCGCCGAGCCGGGGCGGCAGGUGAGUUCCCCUGCCCGGGGCGCUG
rnacentral:lncRNA from 1 species